GGAAGUUGAAGGACGGGUGUCGGGCCCAAUACGGGUCUGAGGAAACUCCCUUCUUGAUGUGGGUGCUGCAACGCCGCGAGGCGUGGGGGGAGACCCCUAGGCUGAGACAGAAACGAAGUCUGCCUGGGGAGGUGGGGAUGAAGAAUUCUGACGACCCCCGGAACGGACGUGAAACGUGCUCAGCCUGUAGCAAGCAAGGCCGAAAAGAUCAGAUGAGUCACCCACAUGAUGAUCAGGUGGGCCGCAUAGUUGAAUCCCGUCUCCAACAGAAAAGGGGUUACUCUCAACAUCC
rnacentral:RNase_P_RNA from 1 species